AUGGGGAAGAGAGGAGGAGGAAGAAGGAGACGCCGGAACAAUGAACAUUCUCCGGCGACGGCGCUCCUCGGCCCGGAGCAGAAGCCGGCCCCGGAGCGGACGGGACCGAGGGGGCGGCGGCAGCAGCGGCGCCAUCUCCCCUCCCUGGAGCCCCCUACGGCCCGAAGGCCCGGGCCUGCCCCCGCCUUCACUCACCGGCGCCCGCCCCGAGCCUUCGCGGGGUCCGCUCGCCGCAGCAGCCAGAGGAAGACGCAGGGCAACCGAGGGCCCCAGCCGCCGCCGGCAGCGCCGCACCACAAUAUGGCGAGGUUCGGCUUCCGCAAUGGAGCUCGGGAAAUCCAACAGGGGCCGCUCAAUAUUCAUGAGAGACCGAGCCCGAGUCGGCUCCGGCAGGGGCUGGACGCGGAUCCGGAGGGAGGGAGGCUGGGUCUGGGGGAGGGGGGCGGCGCCGGCGCCGGCGGGGGGAGAGACACCUGGAAGCUCCGAGCCUCCCCCCCCUCGCUGCCCGCCCCGCCCCCCGCGCCGCCGCCACGCCGCCCACUCCUCCUCCCCACCCGAGCGCCCUCCCUUCCCAGGGAUGAUGAAAUCACGACGUCACUGCCCUGACAUCAUUAUCACGCACACGUAACACGAGUUUCACUUUUUUAACCACCGCCUCUACUUUUCCCCUCCCGACCCCCAAGUCUGGGUUGGAACAGGUGUGUCAGCCGAAUGUGUGGUGUGGAAGCCAGAUAGAUGGCAGCUGUUUAAUUCUUCCCACUCCAGCAUCCUCGCCACCUCUCCUCGGUAAUUCUUAGCAUAGGUGUUCUCACUUGGAGGGCAGCGAAGACCUAAGACUUUCUCCACUGCAUCAGUGACUUCUUACGUGGGUCGUCCUUUUGCCCACUCCUCCGCCCCCUUUCCCGAUAGAUGCUCUCUUGCACUCUCCUGAAAAAUCCAGGAAUGAGUGCCUAGAGGCAGCAAUCACCCUGGAGGCUCAUGACCUUCAGACUAAGAAACGAAAAGUGCCGGCUAUUAGCCUGAUUAAAUUACCGGGAGAGGUCUGGAUUUGGUACCAGAGAACUUGGUUGCUAGUAACCUGUGUCUUUGGACAAAUUACUUAAAGGCGGGUCUGUCUCUCAGUUCUUCGAUAAAAAUAAGGUGAUUGGGAAAAAAUUGUCUUCAAAAAAGUGUUCUCUUAAACCCAUACUACUCCGGAUGCCACCCAUCGUACUCUUUGCACUGGAACACUUUCCAGAGACUGUUAUCUGAUCCUGAAGACAUUCCCGUUAGUGCCUACCUAGCCUUGUGCCCCCUACAAACAUUCCAUUGUCUCUCUGAUGUCGUCUUUGGGAAUAUUCCCUCAAAUGUUGCAUAUGGAAAUCCACCAUGCCCACUCAUCUAGUGUGGCUCAUUCUUCCACACUUUAGAGGACCCAUGAUUUCAUCUGUAUAGGUCCAUUUAGUAGGCACUUAAUAAAUGUCAAUUUAUUAAAAUGUUUUAUUUCUCA
rnacentral:lncRNA from 1 species